CUCUUAUUUCCUGUCAACUAAUUUGAAUUUCUUCUUGAGUGUCUCACUUGGUUAUCAAGAUAUUAAAUUAUAGGGUUAAAUAAUAGUGGUCAAAGCGUAUUUUAUUUUUACAAAAAUGUACCUUUCAUUCUUAAAUUAUUCAGAGACUUUCAUUUUGCAUUUAUUACCCUUUCUUUUGGUCUGUGCUUCUCACUUAAUUUUACUUGAUUAUCAAAGUCAACUUACCAUUAAAUCAUUGAAUAGUGUGUUUAAGAUAACUGAGGAUAUGGUUUGAAUUUAAAUGCCCAACAAAAAUAUAUGUUGAAAGGGAUGAAUACUUUUAUCAUUUUGAAACCAGGUCGUGAUUCAGAGUAAUGAUGAUAUUGCCAGCAGAGCUAUAGAUCUCCUCAAAGAGAUAUACACGAACCUUGGUCCAAGACUACAAGUCAAUCAGGUGGUGAUCCAUGAAGACUUCAUUCAGUCUUGUUUUGAUCGUCUGAAGGCUUCCUAUGACACAUUGUGUGUUUUGGAUGGUGACAAAGACAGUGUUAAUUGUGCAAGACAGGAAGCUGUUCGAAUGGUUCGAGUAUUAACUGUUUUAAGGGAAUAUAUAAAUGAAUGUGACAGUGAUUAUCAUGAGGAAAGAACAAUUCUCCCUAUGUCGAGGUUUGUGAAUAACUAAUCUAUUGG
rnacentral:lncRNA from 1 species